GUGGGGAAUAUUGCGCAAUGGGCGAAAGCCUGACGCAGCGACGCCGCGUGGGGGAUGACGGCCUUCGGGUUGUAAACCUCUUUUACCACUCACGCAGGCCGGGGGUUUUCUCCCGGUUGACGGUAGGUGGGGAAUAAGGACCGGCUAACUACGUGCCAGCAGCCGCGGUAAUACGUAGGGUCCGAGCGUUGUCCGGAAUUAUUGGGCGUAAAGAGCUCGUAGGCGGCGUGUCGCGUCUGCUGUGAAAGACCGGGGCUUAACUCCGGUUUUGCAGUGGAUACGGGCAUGCUAGAGGUAGGUAGGGGAGACUGGAAUUCCUGGUGUAGCGGUGAAAUGCGCAGAUAUCAGGAGGAACACCGGUGGCGAAGGCGGGUCUCUGGGCCUUACCUGACGCUGAGGAGCGAAAGCGUGGGGAGCGAACAGGAUUAGAUACCCGUGUAGUCC
rnacentral:rRNA from 1 species